AUGAUAUGUCUAGAUAUUCAAAAAGACCUUGCUACAUGUUGUGCAUUGGAGGUAACCGAAGUCAUCAAGGAUGAGCUUGGAGAUAAGAAAUUCUCGAUACUUAUUGAUGAGGCUAGAGAUUGCUCAAUAAAGGAGGAAAUGGCAAUAAUUUUGAGAUUUUUAGAUGAUCACGGAGAACUUCAAGAGAGAUUUCCUGCUAUUAAGCACAUCACAAAUUGUACAUCUGCCGGAAUUAAAGAAGCAUUGGUUCAUGUGUUGGAGUACCAUGGCCUGCCUAUUAAUAGGCUACGUGGACAGGGUUACGAUGGGGCUUCAAAUACGAGAGGUGAAUUCAACGGUUUGCAAAAGCUAAUUCAUGAUGAGAGUCCAUAUGCUUUCUUUGUUCACUGCUUUGCCCAUCAGUUACAGUUACUGGUUGUCACAGUGGCUCAGUGUUGUCCAGUUAUUGCUGAUUUUUUCAACUACCUUCCCUUGAUAGUGACUCAGGUGGGUUCAUCUUGCAAAAGGAAGGAUGCAUUGCUUGCAAAACAUCAAGACAACUUGAUAGAAAUGAUGGAAAAUUGUAAGAUAUCAUCUAGAACUGGGUUACAUCAAGAAACUAACCAAGCUAGACCAGGAGCUACUCGUUGGGGCUCACAUCUUGGAACCUUGCUUUGUAUGUACACAAUGUGGAAUGCAGUGGUGGAUGUGCUUGCAAUUGUGGUUGACGAUGCCCGGGAACACACUUCUCAAGGUGGAGCUUCAGGUUUGAUCAUACAGAUGGAAUGCUUCCAGUUUGUGUUCAUCAUGCUAUUCUUAAUAAACUUGUUGAGCAUCACUAAUUUGCUAUCACAAGCUUUGCAAAGAAAGAAACAAGAUGUUGUUGAAGCCAUGCGUUUGAUCUUGGAUGUGAAAGAAGCUUUGCAAAAUAUGAGGGACAAUGGGUAUGAGUCAUUAUGCGACCAAGCAAACAACUUCUGUGAGGAACAUGGCAUUGAGGUGCCAAAUAUGGAUGAUCUUGUAGGAGCUAAGGGGCAAUCUGUUCGCAGCAAGAAAAAGGUGACUCGACAUCAUUAUUUCAAGGUUAGCAUAUUCAAUGUUGCUCUUGAUGCAACUCUCACCGAGAUGAAUCACCGAUUCAAUGAAGUUAACACCGAGUUAGUGGAUUGCAUGUCUUGCCUUACUCCAACAAACAACUUCUCAAUGUUUAAUAUUGAAAAACUUAUUCGACUUGCUGAAAUUUAUGCUGAGGAUUUUACACAAGCUGAACGGUUGUUGCUAAGAACUCAACUUCCUACAUUCCUUACCAAUAUUAGGAGAAGUGAUGAAUUCGAUGGAUGUUCGGAUGUUUCCACCCUUGCUCGGUUGAUGGUUCAAACAACAAAACACAGAACUAUCCAAUUGGUAUAUCGCCUCAUCGAGUUGACAUUGAUUCUUCCAGUGGCAAUUUCCUCGGUUGAGUGA
rnacentral:rRNA from 1 species